rnacentral:rRNA from 2 species
GGGUUGUGAGGUUAAGCGACUAAGCGUACACGGUGGAUGCCCUGGCAGUCAGAGGCGAUGAAGGACGUGCUAAUCUGCGAUAAGCGUCGGUAAGGUGAUAUGAACCGUUAUAACCGGCGAUUUCCGAAUGGGGAAACCCAGUGUGAUUCGUCACACUAUCAUUAACUGAAUCCAUAGGUUAAUGAGGCGAACCGGGGGAACUGAAACAUCUAAGUACCCCGAGGAAAAGAAAUCAACCGAGAUUCCCCCAGUAGCG